CCCCCCCAAACCGGAAGCACUCUCCUCUCCUCCGCAUCGCAUCGACUCCAACCCCUGACAAACCCCACCUCCGCUCCGCAACCUACGGUUCCCCUCCAGAGCCUCAACCUCCAUUUCGGGAAGAAGCUUCUUGCUCUCUGGCAACGUGUUCCCUCCGCCAACUCGGCUUCCAGAUCCCUACGGGGCACAUCUCUGUUGCCCCCCCCCGCCCCCCACCCGAGCACAAUUUACACGCCAUGUAUAAUCACUCAAAACUCGCCUGCGGCGUCACUCUUCCUGCCUUUGGACUGUGGGUUCUCAUCCAUCCUCCGACGGGGCCCGGGACGGAAUGAGGAAAUUCCGGUGAAGUCGCUCGUCAGAGGCUCCUGUGCCACCUGCUACCUGUUGCUCGUGCGGGUAGGAUGGUCUGCAGGCCCAGCGCUUGGCUCCUGGCGCAGUGCUCAGCUGCCGGCUGGUGCUGUCGAAAGAACUCCUGGGACAGCAGCCAGGUUCCCUCAGUGCAAUAUCCCGACGCCGUUUUCAGCUAGACAUGCCAUCGUUUGGCCUGGAGGAGAAACCCGGAGUCCCUGGGCUUCUGCCCUUCUUGUGGGGCCACGGGACUCUGAUGCCCUCCGCCAUACCCUUUCAGGACGGAUGAGUUGGCAACGGCCCCAUCUUCCCCCAGGUUCAAAUAUAUUAAGAUUCUUUCAGGCCUUCGGGGAACUCUUUACUAGAUCUGAAAGGCUCCAGCAAGAUUCCUCCAAUCCCAAGGCCUCCAGACCAAUAGCAAACACGGGUUUCUCUCUUAAAAUAUGCCUCCAGGGGCGCCUGGGUGGCUCAGUCGGUUGAGCGUCCGACUUCGGCUCAGGUCACGAUCUCGCGGUCCGUGGGUUCGAGCCCCGCGUCGGGUUCUGUGCCGACAGCUCAGAGCCUGGAGCUGCUUCAGAUUCUGUUGUCUCCCUCUCUCUCUCUCUCUGCCCCUCCCCUGCUCGUGCGCUCUCUCUCUCUCUCUCUCUCUCAAAAAUAAACAUUAAAAAAUUUUUUUUUAAAUAUGCCUCCAAAUUCAGAAGACAAAUCGCUCCCUGUUCUUCCCCAAAAUGGAGAAGGACAACUUAAAAUGGCAACGCCCUGGGCCCCUGGGCAGUCAGAAUCUUAUGCGAACUUUUAUUUCGCUCUCCUCCACGCCAGUGAUGGCACCAGGAGAUUCUCAUUCUGCUGGUCUCCCUCACAUCAGCCAAGCACCCAACAGAAGACAGAGGACACAUUUAAAUUCGGUAAGCUCUACGUGCGGUGGGAAAAUCGAGGUGGAGUGGGGGGCUAGCGAGGGUCCGGCAACAAAGCGCUCGGUUAAGCACUCACUGGUUGUCUUGCGGGACUCGUACCACCUGACCACGAAGGCCGCGGCUCUGGGAGACGUAACAGCCGCCUUUGAGAAGAGCAGUCUAGUCCGAGCUCCCCUCCCCCAAUGGAAAAGCACCGUACUUACGUGACCCACGAUGGUGCGCUUCUCGACGACAGUCAGUGAUGUGGGACCACUGGCGCCAAAGCGAGAAAUUGACUGUGAGUCUGAACGAACGGUGGCAUCCACAUCACCUCAGCACCUGGUUUCUGACAGCAAGUGAUGACCAAAGGCAUCAGGGUAUUUCCCUGCCACGUCAUUUCCACGCCACGCGAUUUCCACCACUGGACGGGAAUCCAGCACGUGAGCCUAUGACGGUGACGUUUCAGGACUGGACCCCCGUGCUGUUUUGUACUUCCCAUCGAUGGCCCAAGGUCAAGGCGAUAAAGCCAAGAGGUCAGCAGAGACGCGUGGAGGUGCCGGGCUCGAUGCUAAGACACUUCAACUCCACUUGGCCAGAGCACGGGUAUGCCUGCCAAGAGACCACCACGGUACUACGCCUUCAGCAAAUAUCCCCUUUGGGGGAAAACCUACAGCUACCCGUUACCUCCAGUUAGAAAACAUGAAUCAAAA